rnacentral:rRNA from 1 species
UACGUAUGGGGCAAGCGUUAUCCGGAUUUACUGGGUGUAAAGGGAGCGUAGGCGGCAGGGCAAGCCUGAUGUGAAAGCCCGGGGCUCAACCCCGGGACUGCAUUGGGAACUGCCCCGCUCGAGUGCCGGAGGGGCAGGCGGAAUUCCUAGUGUAGCGGUGAAAUGCGUAGAUAUUAGGAGGAACACCAGUGGCGAAGGCGGCCUGCUGGACGGUGACUGACGCUGAGGCUCGAAAGCGUGGGGAGCAA